GUUAUACACUUUUGUACUACAUACACAAACUGUAUUUGAUAUCCUGGUGAUGUGCAUGCGUUCGCAGCUCUGUCUUAAAUCAUUGGCUGCUAUUUGUCUGACUAUCCUUUUGCAAUUUUGCUGCAUAGAAAUCGGUUCGACCUUCGACAAUGGAUUAUUAGAUAGUCGGAAGAGGACUGUGCUGUUAAUAUCAAACCUGGCUACUUCAAUUUUUAUGAUCGCAAUCGCAUGUUUGGGUUAUUUUAUCGUCUUUAGUCAAGCAAUAUUUCUGCUCCUGGUGGUAAAGCUUAAGAAACAUUAUCACUGGCAAUUUGCAUUGGCUUAUUCAUAUUUAUCAAAUGCAAUAUUUGGAUACUUUAUGUGACUAUUGGAAACUCUACGGAAACGUACCCGAACUAUCACAUUUGGUUUGCAUCAACGAUCUUGUGGGCCGCAUUGAGUCUGAUUGUAAUCGUGCGGUUGUUGAUAAUACGAAAGCGUAGCUAAGAGUUUCGUGUCACAUUCAACAUACAUAUUU